GACGAACGCUGGCGGCGUGCUUAACACAUGCAAGUCGAACGGAAAGGCCCUGCUUUUGUGGGGUGCUCGAGUGGCGAACGGGUGAGUAACACGUGAGUAACCUGCCCUUGACUUUGGGAUAACUUCAGGAAACUGGGGCUAAUACCGGAUAGGAGCUCCUGCUGCAUGAUGGGGGUUGGAAAGUUUCGGCGGUUGGGGAUGGACUCGCGGCUUAUCAGCUUGUUGGUGGGGUAGUGGCUUACCAAGGCUUUGACGGGUAGCCGGCCUGAGAGGGUGACCGGCCACAUUGGGACUGAGAUACGGCCCAGACUCCUACGGGAGGCAGUAGUGGGGAAUAUUGCACAAUGGGCGGAAGCCUGAUGCAGCAACGCCGCGUGCGGGAUGACGGCCUUCGGGUUGUAAACCGCUUUCGCCUGUGACGAAGCGUGAGUGACGGUAAUGGGGAAAGAAGCACCGGCUAACUACGU
rnacentral:rRNA from 1 species